GGAGGAAACGUGCACUGGGAGCAGCUGCUCUGUCUCCAGGCAGCAGGUGCUCAUUUUGCUCAGAGUGAGGUAGGACGUUAGUACUUACGUGUGGUGCUAAGGAGGAGUUUUUCUGUAAGCAGUGAAUUUGCUUUGUGCUUUUUGAGUUGGUUCUUUUUUUCCCCACUUUCUUCAUAACUUCAGCAGGCAGGAUGUGGAUACUGGGAGAAAAAAGCAGAAAAGAAGCAGAGGAUGAAAAGAAAGCUGACUACCUGGGCUGCUGCUGGGAUGGGACAUGCUAGAGCUUUUCAGAAGGCCAUUCUAUGAUUCAAUGCAAUGCACCUGAGUGACCCAGAUGUCGUUUAAGGGUUGGCAGUGGAAGCAAGAGCGUCUCUUGCAAGAGAUCCUUGCCUACCUGAAGUCUUCCAAAGCCACUGAUUUUGGCUGCCUUAACUUGGAAAGAUGCCCCCUUGAUGAAUGUGUGAUCUCCUGAUAGCUGGGUGCAGUGCUACCGUGGUCCAGAGCUCUGCAUGAGGCACCAUGAUGUCGCCUGACAAAUGUAAAGCAAGUCCAACUGUUGUUUGCAGAUGGGACAAUUCAUACCAAGGCUCAGGACAGCCUAUCCACGUGGUAGAUUUUCUUCUGCUUUCAUUCCCUGGCAGUAUUUCAGCAGCUGGAGCCUCACAGGAGCUAUCGCUGUCUGGCUGACACAGAGGCACCAUCCUGGCGGAGAGGUCUCACCAUCCCUGCCGGGGUCUGAGGAAUUCUCAGAUGUUACCUCAGUGUGGGCACCCUAUGGCAUCCCUGCUCUGGUCAGUGGCUUUCACUGCUUGGGUUUACUUAUGGUUUUAAGAAGCAGGGC
ensembl:lncRNA